rnacentral:lncRNA from 1 species
AGAAACUUGCUUGAACUCAUGUGUUUUCAAUAAAUUGUGUGAAUAAGAGAGUUGAGGUUGGUUUUAACAGUUUUCUAACAAAUUCCCCUUGUUUUGACAGAAAUUGAAGCAAUACUAGAAGAAGAAGUGAAAAGCCAAGAAGAUGGAGCUCAAAAGGGGUCAAAAAGGCACCAAGAAAGGAGAAAACCCAAAACCCAGGCGAUAGGAACGAAAAACAACGCAUCCAGGAUCAACGCUGGUCACUUGGGAGACAGCCCCGACACCCGGGCGACGGACCCCCGAAGCUUAGGCAUCCAAAACUGGCGUCCAAGCCUCACAUGAACCUCAAUUCACGCUUAGGCGAGCUCCCUGCGACGCUUGAGCGUGAUUUCACGUGGAUCGGGCCCUGAUUAUGCUCUGGUUUGAUUCUUUUGGACCGGGCCACACUUUGGGAUGCGUCUGGCACUAUUUAAAGGACCCUGGGG